UCCCUCGUGGCGCAAUUGGCUAGCGCGUUCGACUGUUACGCAUCAGACAAUCGAGAGGUUGGUGGUUCGAGCCCACCCGAGGGAG